CCUACCAAUUCAGCCUGUCAGUGCCACCUCAUUGGUGCCCAUUAGUGCUUACUGAUGCCGAUUUCUCUAAAAAGGCGAAAUAUUGGUCGAUAUAUCAGUCGACCUCUAGUCUUAACUAUCAAUUGAAAUCCACUUACCCUGCGAGUGGCAUGUUGAUCGAAUGGGUUUUCGACUAUAGAUAAAUUGUUCCAUCACAAAAGAAAUUGAUUAUUUAUUGAAGUGUGUAUGGUCUCCAUUAAACACAAGAUUCUCAUCUUCUUGCUCUAUCAGACACUUAGUUGCACUUAUUUUUUUUUCAGAUUCACCAUAUAGCCCCUUCCUUGACGUUUAUGACCUGAAACCGCUGAAACAUCAAGGCUCCGUUUUCUUGAAAGGGGUUCCGGUGACGGCGCCCAUAUCGCAGACCGAACAAUAUACCACCGGGAAAAAAAAGGACCAGUUGCAAUUUUUUACCACCAUGCUCUCCCGCCUGAGGAAGUUCAGCGUAACCAACAUGAUCCUUGGAGGUGACUUCAACGUUGCUUUAAUACCCCGCCUAGAUACAUCAAAUGAUUCACCAUAUAGCCCCUUCCUUGACGUUUAUGACCUGAAACCGCUGAAACAUCAAGGCUCCGUUUUCUUGAAAGGGGUUCCGGUGACAGCGCCCAUAUCGCAGACCGAACAAUAUACCACCG